CCUACGGGUGGCAGCAGUGGGGAAUAUUGCACAAUGGGCGCAAGCCUGAUGCAGCCAUGCCGCGUGUGUGAAGAAGGCCCUCGGGUUGUAAAGCACUUUCAGCGGGGAGGAAGGCGUUAAGGUUAAUAACCUUGGCGAUUGACGUUACCCGCAGAAGAAGCACCGGCUAACUCCGUGCCAGCAGCCGCGGUAAUACGGAGGGUGCAAGCGUUAAUCGGAAUUACUGGGCGUAAAGCGCACGCAGGCGGUCUGUCAAGUCGGAUGUGAAAUCCCCGGGCUCAACCUGGGAACUGCAUUCGAAACUGGCAGGCUAGAGUCUUGUAGAGGGGGGUAGAAUUCCAGGUGUAGCGGUGAAAUGCGUAGAGAUCUGGAGGAAUACCGGUGGCGAAGGCGGCCCCCUAGACAAAGACUGACGCUCAGGUGCGAAAGCGUGGGGAGCAAACAGGAUUAGAUACCCUAGUAGUC
rnacentral:rRNA from 1 species